AUUGGACGCUGGCGGCAUGCCUUACACAUGCAAGUCGAACGGCAGCACGGGGCAACCUGGUGGCGAGUGGCGAACGGGUGAGUAAUGCAUCGGAACGUACCUUUCAGUGGGGGAUAACGUAGCGAAAGUUACGCUAAUACCGCAUAUUCUGUGAGCAGGAAAGCAGGGGAUCGCAAGACCUUGCGCUGAUUGAGCGGCCGAUGUCAGAUUAGCUAGUUGGUGAGGUAAAGGCUCACCAAGGCGACGAUCUGUAGCGGGUCUGAGAGGAUGAUCCGCCAGACUGGAACUGAGACACGGUCCAGACUCCUACGGGAGGCAGCAGUGGGGAAUUUUGGAAAAUGGGGGCAACCCUGAUCCAGCCAUGCCGCGUGAGUGAAGAAGGCCUUCGGGUUGUAAAGCUCUUUCGGCCGGGAAGAAAUCGCACAGGCUAAUACCUUGUGUGGAUGACGGUACCGGAAUAAGAAGCACCGGCUAACUACGUGCCAGCCGCCGCCGUAACAC
rnacentral:rRNA from 1 species